CAAAUAAUAAAUAAUUGAAGGGUGAGUCGGCCAGAAUCUGACUCGAGUGUAAAGUUCCCUUCUUCAACUCCUAAUAAUCACCACACUUCGUAUUCAGGCGUUUAGCAAACCAAUUUUUUUUCUCUCUCAAGGACUGAUCUGAUCUUCAAUCCAAGCUCCUCGUUUUCUCCGCCCCAUACUCAGGGCCACAACUACCAUGGAAACAAAGCAGAGUGAUGCAACUGUCAACGCCAGUUGAGACUCCCAAAUGAAGCUUUGGUCUGUGGAGAUGGGUGUCGGCAACGAUCAACAUGGGAAAGAUAUUACGGCUGCAACAAUUCCUGCGCAGAAGGGUCCAUACCUGGUGUCACAUUUGAACAAAUAAAGCUACAAAUCAAGCUAGAAGUACCUCAUUCUCUUCAGCAAUCCAUGGAUAUUGAGAGUCAAGUCUGUCUUUCCUUGGUAAGUGUUGACAUCUGUGGAAGUUUGAUGUAUUAUUUUAUACUAUUGUUUCAAGAAUGUCAUCCUUCUCUUUUCUUAAAACACAGCUUAUCCAGUUUAUUGUUAAUGCCAUCCUAUCGAU